AAAAGGUUUAAUUUUUGCUUAUAAAUUUAAUUUAAAUUUAAUAUUAAAUGUAUAUUGAUUGAAAUUUAUUCUUAAUGAUAAAUUUACAUGAUUUGCAAUAAAAAAUAUUAUUAAUUGGUGAGAAUUUGAUUUAGUUAUUUUUAUUAAAUAUUGAUAAAAUAUGUGCCAGCAAUCGCGGUUAAACAUAGAAUAUAAUUAAAUUUUGUUAGUUAAAAGUUAUUUGUAAUAUAAAUAAUCUUUAUAAUUAUUUUUAGGUGGAAUUUAAAUUUUUAUAAUGAUUAAAUGAAUAAAAUUAGGGGAGGCUAUGAAAUUCAUUAAAUUAAACUAGGAUUAGAUACCCUAUUAUUAUGAUUUUAAAAUUAUUAUACUUAGGUAGUAAUAGUUGAGAUCUUGAAACUUAAAAAAUUUGGCGGUAUUUUAGUCUACUUAGAGGAAUUUGUCCCGUUAUCGAUAGUCCGCGUUGAACCUAACCUUAAUUUAAAAUAUGUAUACCGCCGUUUAGAAAAUCUUUUUAGAGAAAAUUUUCUAUAACUUUUAUUUAAUUGUAUUUCAGGUCAAGGUGCAGUUUAUAUUAAGGUGGAGAUGAAUUACAAUAUUUAAAUAUAUUAUGAAUUAUAAAUUGAAAUAUUUAUAUGAAAGUGAAUUUAAUAGUAAUAUUAUAAAGAUUAUUAAUAUGAUUAUUUUAGCUCUAAAGUAUGUACAUAUCGCCCGUCACUCUCGUCUUAAGAUGAGAUAAGUCGUAACAAAGUAGGUGUACCGGAAGGUGUAGCUAGAAUAAUAAAU
rnacentral:ncRNA from 1 species